GGGGGAUAUUGCACAAUGGAGGAAACUCUGAUGCAGCAACGCCGCGUGAGGGAAGACGGUUUUCGGAUUGUAAACCUCUGUCCUUGGUGACGAAACAAAUGACGGUAGCCAAGGAGGAAGCUCCGGCUAACUACGUGCCAGCAGCCGCGGUAAUACGUAGGGAGCAAGCGUUGUCCGGAUUUACUGGGUGUAAAGGGUGCGUAGGCGGCUCUGCAAGUCAGGCGUGAAAUAUAUGGGCUUAACCCAUAGACUGCGUUUGAAACUGUGGAGCUUGAGUGAAGUAGAGGUAGGCGGAAUUCCCGGUGUAGCGGUGAAAUGCGUAGAGAUCGGGAGGAACACCAGUGGCGAAGGCGGCUUACUGGGCUUUAACUGACGCUGAGGCACGAAAGCAUGGGUAGCAAAC
rnacentral:rRNA from 1 species